AACGCACAUUGCACCUCUUGGUAUUCCUUGAGGUAUGCCUGUUCGAGCGCCGUUUGACACUCCUAAAGCUUUGCUUUGUGUUGGGCUUUGUUUUGCGCAAAACAAGCCUCAAAUGCAUUUGCCCAAGUUGUUUGCGGAGAAGCAGCGAAAGUGCUCUUGCGCAGAAAAAACGCGGGCAGGUCAAACGAUCGCAUGGCCUCGGAUCAGGUAGGGCUACCCGCUGAACUUAA
rnacentral:misc_RNA from 1 species